AGGGUUGGCCUGCUUCCAACGGCUGUUAAUCUCUGGCUUGCCUCACCAACCCUUAUGGACUCAUCAGCUCUUCUAUCAACUAAGUUCUGGGGUACAUAUGAAGAACAUGUAGGAUUGUUGCAUAGGGUCUCACUCUGUCAUCUAGACUGCAAUGCAGUGGCACAAUCUGGGCUGACUGCAACCUGCGCCUUCCAGACUCAAGCAAUUCUCUUGCCUCAGCUUCCCGAGUAGCUGGGAUCACAG